ACGAACGCUGGCGGCGUGCUUCACCCCUGCCAGUCGAACGGAAAGGCCCUGCUUUUGUGGGGUGCUCGAGUGGCGAACGGGUGAGUAACACGUGAGUAACCUGCCCUUGACUUUGGGAUAACUUCGGGAAACUGGGGCUAAUACCGGAUAGGAGCUCCUGCUGCAUGGUGGGGGUUGGAAAGUUUCGGCGGUUGGGGAUGGACUCGCGGCUUAUCAGCUUGUUGGUGGGGUAGUGGCUUACCAAGGCUUUGACGGGUAGCCGGCCUGAGAGGGUGACCGGCCACAUUGGGACUGAGAUACGGCCCAGACUCCUACGGGAGGCAGCAGUGGGGAAUAUUGCACAAUGGGCGGAAGCCUGAUGCAGCAACGCCGCGUGCGGGAUGACGGCCUUCGGGUUGUAAACCGCUUUCGCCUGUGACGAAGCGUGAGUGACGGUAAUGGGUAAAGAAGCACCGGCUAACUACGUG
rnacentral:rRNA from 1 species